GACGAACCGUGCGAACGUUAUUCGGAAUCACUGGGCUUAAAGGGCGCGUAGGCGGCUUUGCAAGUCAGGGGUGAAAUCCCAUCGGGUCAACCGUGGAAUUGCCUUUGAUACUGCUUGGCUUGAGAGAGGUAGGGGCACGUGGAACUUCCAGUGGAGCGGUGAAAUGCAUUGAGAUUGGAAGGAACGCCGGUGGCGAAAGCGACGUGCUGGAUCUCUACUGACGCUGAGGCGCGAAAGCUAGGGGAGCGAUCGGG
rnacentral:rRNA from 1 species